rnacentral:lncRNA from 1 species
GAGGGGGACACACCCAGGGCCCAGGGGGGGCGCGGUAGGGCUUAGGGGCUGGGGGAGGGGAGGGCGGAGAAGGCGCUCAAAGUUCUUUUGUUUGAAAAUCGCAUCAGUUCCAGGGGGAAAACCUGGAUUUGUGACGUUUGAGCUGUCUCAAAGAGCAAAGAGCACCGGAUGAACCUGUAGCCCCACAGCCCGGGAGACCCAACUAGCAUAGGCCAUCACAGGCGCUGGACCUGGGACACAGAUGGUGUCCCACCAACGCGGCCACUUGAAGAUGGAGCCCCGAAAGAACGGCAGGGCCACCGUGCCCCGCUCAGCAGCAGGUGCAGCUGCGCACGGAGCUUUCAGCCGCUGAUUGACGUCCUUGAGGCCGCGGAUCUCCAGGAGGUGCUGCUGCAGCCGCCGGUUCACGUCGCGCAUCAGGCCGCCGUGCUCCAGCAUGAGGCCCACCUUCUCGCCCUCAGCACGCCGCAGCCGCCGCGCCAGCUCCUCCUUGCUCCAGCGCA